CUGCAGGUGUUGUUGGAAUGAAUUUUGCAGGUGUUACUUUGGAGUGUAAGCUGCAGACCAAAACUAAUAAAAUAGUAACGAAAUUUUUUGUUGAAAAAGAAAGCAAUUUUGGAAGGUGCUUUCAUAGAAAGUGACAUUGAAAGUUGCUUGCUGCUAGUUCAUCUUUAUGUUGGUGAAUGAUUUUAGUGGUGAAGUGGCACUUGGUAAUGCCUAACCCAUAAAAAAGCGGUGUUGGAGUGGAUAUUUAUUGGAUUCGAGUUUCUUCUGUGAACUUAUUGUCUCUUAUGAGUGAGAAGUUUUAAAUACAGAGAGGUUUAAGUUUGGAUUA